rnacentral:rRNA from 1 species
CACUCCUACGGGAGGCAGCAGUGGGGAAUAUUGCACAAUGGGCGCAAGCCUGAUGCAGCCAUGCCGCGUGUAUGAAGAAGGCCUUCGGGUUGUAAAGUACUUUCAGCGGGGAGGAAGGCGAUAAGGUUAAUAACCUUGUCGAUUGACGUUACCCGCAGAAGAAGCACCGGCUAACUCCGUGCCAGCAGCCGCGGUAAUACGGAGGGUGCAAGCGUUAAUCGGAAUUACUGGGCGUAAAGCGCACGCAGGCGGUCUGUCAAGUCGGAUGUGAAAUCCCCGGGCUCAACCUGGGAACUGCAUUCGAAACUGGCAGGCUAGAGUCUUGUAGAGGGGGGUAGAAUUCCAGGUGUAGCGGUGAAAUGCGUAGAGAUCUGGAGGAAUACCGGUGGCGAAGGCGGCCCCCUGGACAAAGACUGACGCUCAGGUGCGAAAGCGUGGGGAGCAAACAGGAUUAGAUACCCGAGUAGUCCCAUGAU